GGUUAAGCGACUAAGCGUACACGGUGGAUGCCCUGGCAGUCAGAGGCGAUGAAGGACGUGCUAAUCUGCGAAAAGCGUCGGUAAGGUGAUAUGAACCGUUAUAGCCGGCGAUGUCCGAAUGGGGAAACCCAGUGCAAUUCGUUGCACUAUCGUUAACUGAAUACAUAGGUUAACGAGGCGAACCGGGGGAACUGAAACAUCUAAGUACCCCGAGGAAAAGAAAUCAACCGAGAUUCCCCCAGUAGCGGCGAGCGAACGGGGAGCAGCCCAGAGUCUGAAUCAGCUUGUGUGUUAGUGGAACGGUCUGGAAAGUCCGACGGUACAGGGUGAUAGUCCCGUACACCAAAAUGCACAGGUUGUGAACUCGAAGAGUAGGGCGGGACACGUGGUAUCCUGUCUGAAUAUGGGGGGACCAUCCUCCAAGGCUAAAUACUCCUGACUGACCGAUAGUGAACCAGUACCGUGAGGGAAAGGCGAAAAGAACCCCGGCGAGGGGAGUGAAAAAGAACCUGAAACCGUGUACGUACAAGCAGUGGGAGCACCUUCGGGUGUGACUGCGUACCUUUUGUAUAAUGGGUCAGCGACUUAUAUUCUGUAGCAAGGUUAACCGUAUAGGGGAGCCGCAGGGAAACCGAGUCUUAACUGGGCGUUAAGUUGCAGGGUAUAGACCCGAAACCCGGUGAUCUAGCCAUGGGCAGGUUGAAGGUUGGGUAACACUAACUGGAGGACCGAACCGACUAAUGUUGAAAAAUUAGCGGAUGACUUGUGGCUGGGGGUGAAAGGCCAAUCAAACCGGGAGAUAGCUGGUUCUCCCCGAAAGCUAUUUAGGUAGCGCCUCGUGAAUUCAUCUUCGGGGGUAGAGCACUGUUUCGGCUAGGGGGUCAUCCCGACUUACCAACCCGAUGCAAACUACGAAUACCGAAGAAUGUUAUCACGGGAGACACACGGCGGGUGCUAACGUCCGUCGUGAAGAGGGAAACAACCCAGACCGCCAGCUAAGGUCCCAAAGUCAUGGUUAAGUGGGAAACGAUGUGGGAAGGCACAGACAGCCAGGAUGUUGGCUUAGAAGCAGCCAUCAUUUAAAGAAAGCGUAAUAGCUCACUGGUCGAGUCGGCCUGCGCGGAAGAUGUAACGGGGCUAAACCAUGCACCGAAGCUGCGGCAGCGACACUAUGUGUUGUUGGGUAGGGGAGCGUUCUGUAAGCCUGCGAAGGUGUGCUGUGAGGCAUGCUGGAGGUAUCAGAAGUGCGAAUGCUGACAUAAGUAACGAUAAAGCGGGUGAAAAGCCCGCUCGCCGGAAGACCAAGGGUUCCUGUCCAACGUUAAUCGGGGCAGGGUGAGUCGACCCCUAAGGCGAGGCCGAAAGGCGUAGUCGAUGGGAAACAGGUUAAUAUUCCUGUACUUGGUGUUACUGCGAAGGGGGGACGGAGAAGGCUAUGUUAGCCGGGCGACGGUUGUCCCGGUUUAAGCAUGUAGGCUGGUUAUCCAGGCAAAUCCGGAUAAUCAAGGCUGAGGUGUGAUGACGAGGCACUACGGUGCUGAAGUAACAAAUGCCCUGCUUCCAGGAAAAGCCUCUAAGCAUCAGGUAACAUCAAAUCGUACCCCAAACCGACACAGGUGGUCAGGUAGAGAAUACCAAGGCGCUUGAGAGAACUCGGGUGAAGGAACUAGGCAAAAUGGUGCCGUAACUUCGGGAGAAGGCACGCUGGUGUGUAGGUGAAGUCCCUGCGGAUGGAGCUGAGACCAGUCGAAGAUACCAGCUGGCUGCAACUGUUUAUUAAAAACACAGCACUGUGCAAACACGAAAGUGGACGUAUACGGUGUGACGCCUGCCCGGUGCCGGAAGGUUAAUUGAUGGGGUUAUCCGUAAGGAGAAGCUCUUGAUCGAAGCCCCGGUAAACGGCGGCCGUAACUAUAACGGUCCUAAGGUAGCGAAAUUCCUUGUCGGGUAAGUUCCGACCUGCACGAAUGGCGUAAUGAUGGCCAGGCUGUCUCCACCCGAGACUCAGUGAAAUUGAACUCGCUGUGAAGAUGCAGUGUACCCGCGGCAAGACGGAAAGACCCCGUGAACCUUUACUAUAGCUUGACACUGAACAUUGAGCCUUGAUGUGUAGGAUAGGUGGGAGGCUUUGAAGCGUGGACGCCAGUCUGCGUGGAGCCAACCUUGAAAUACCACCCUUUAAUGUUUGAUGUUCUAACGUUGGCCCCUGACCGGGGUUGCGGACAGUGUCUGGUGGGUAGUUUGACUGGGGCGGUCUCCUCCCAAAGCGUAACGGAGGAGCACGAAGGUUAGCUAAUCCUGGUCGGACAUCAGGAGGUUAGUGCAAUGGCAUAAGCUAGCUUGACUGCGAGCGUGACGGCGCGAGCAGGUGCGAAAGCAGGUCAUAGUGAUCCGGUGGUUCUGAAUGGAAGGGCCAUCGCUCAACGGAUAAAAGGUACUCCGGGGAUAACAGGCUGAUACCGCCCAAGAGUUCAUAUCGACGGCGGUGUUUGGCACCUCGAUGUCGGCUCAUCACAUCCUGGGGCUGAAGUAGGUCCCAAGGGUAUGGCUGUUCGCCAUUUAAAGUGGUACGCGAGCUGGGUUUAGAACGUCGUGAGACAGUUCGGUCCCUAUCUGCCGUGGGCGCUGGAGAAUUGAGGGGGGCUGCUCCUAGUACGAGAGGACCGGAGUGGACGCAUCACUGGUGUUCGGGUUGUCAUGCCAAUGGCACUGCCCGGUAGCUAAAUGCGGAAGAGAUAAGUGCUGAAAGCAUCUAAGCACGAAACUUGCCCCGAGAUGAGUUCUCCCUGAGACUUUAAGUCUCCUGAAGGAACGUUAAAGACGAUGACGUUGAUAGGCCGGGUGUGUAAGCGCAGCGAUGCGUUGAGCUAACCGGUACUAAUGAACCGUGAGGCUUAACCUU
rnacentral:rRNA from 1 species